rnacentral:rRNA from 1 species
UACAGAGGUCUCAAGCGUUGUUCGGAUUCAUUGGGCGUAAAGGGUGCGUAGGCGGUGCUGUAAGUCGGAUGUGAAAUCUCGGGGCUCAACCCCGAAACUGCAUUCGAUACUGCAGUGCUCGAGGACUGGAGAGGAGAUCGGAAUUCACGGUGUAGCAGUGAAAUGCGUAGAUAUCGUGAGGAAGGCCAGUGGCGAAGGCGGAUCUCUGGACAGUUCCUGACGCUGAGGCACGAAGGCCAGGGGAG